rnacentral:rRNA from 1 species
AUUGAACGCUGGCGGCAUGCUUUACACAUGCCAGUCGAGCGGUAACAGGCCUUCGGGUGCUGACGAGUGGCGAACGGGUGAGUAAUGCAUCGGAACGUACCCAGAGGUGGGGGAUAACGCAGCGAAAGCUGUGCUAAUACCGCAUGUGAUCUGAGGAUGAAAGCGGGGGACCGAGCAGCAAUGUUUGGCCUCGCGCCUUUGGAGCGGCCGAUGUCGGAUUAGCUAGUUGGUGGGGUAAAGGCUUACCAAGGCGACGAUCCGUAGCUGGUCUGAGAGGACGACCAGCCACACUGGGACUGAGACACGGCCCAGACUCCUACGGGAGGCAGCAGUGGGGAAUUUUGGACAAUGGGCGCAAGCCUGACCCAGCAAUGCCGCGUGCGGGAAGAAGGCCUUCGGGUUGUAAACCGCUUUUGGCAGGAACGAAACGGUGUCCGCUAAUACCGGGCGCUAAUGACGGUACCUGCAGAAUAAGCACCGGCUAACUACGUG